rnacentral:rRNA from 1 species
UGGUGGAGUGAUUUGUCUGGUUAAUUCCGUUAACGAACGAGACUGCUGCCUGUUAAAUAAUUCUUUGAGUGUACAAUACUGACAAGAAUUUCUUAGAGGGACGUGCAUUCUAUUAGAUGCAGGAGGAUAGCAGCAAUAACA